GCAUAUAUUGGAAGGACUGGCUAGGAUAUGGAUAUUCUCUCAAAUAUAUAUCCAUGACCCUUUCAAAUGCCUAGAACAAAAACACUCACUAUGCAGUAUACAGAUUUUUGUUAAAUACUAAAGGAUAGAAUGUUUGAACAUGAUAAAUGUAUGAAUGCCGCGAGUCCAUGAAAUCUGUAAUACUAAAAUAAUACAGUGGACUUUAUGUUUCUUUAUUUAAAGUUUUGUCAUUACUUCUGCUUUGGAACAAUAAAUUGGUAAUGUAGAUAUACAUGUAUUUUAUAACUCCUAUUGGCAAAAGAGAUGUAUAUAUUUGUUCUCUUUAUUUACUCCAUCAACAUGUAGAAAUGGUACUUAACUUGGUUUGCUCAUUGUUCAUUUGUUGUACAUUUGAAAUAUGUUAAAUAUUAUCCAUUUUAUGUCUCAAUUUUGUCACCGUUGAUAAAAUAAAAGUUUUCUUGUAUAAAUACUACAUGACUAUAUUCAACAAUUGUUUAUUGUGAAAAUGAAUAAAUUGCCUAUUCAACUUUUACUGAAUAAAGUUGGGAUUACAUGUACU
rnacentral:misc_RNA from 1 species